ACACAGUUGACGAGCCCGAAAUAGGACGAAACGCGCGUCCUGGAU
rnacentral:hammerhead_ribozyme from 1 species